rnacentral:rRNA from 1 species
AUGCCUUUGCCACAAAAUUCUGUUCUUGGGGCUAAAGAUCUGCCAAGGGCCAUGCUUAGCGAUCAUAUAGAAGAACAACUCUUUAAACGGCUCAAUGAAGAGAGACACGAACGGGCUAUUCAUGAUGGGAAAAGUUUUGAUGAGGUUAGUGCUACCUCAUCAAUUUACAGAAUCUUACGUUUAUGGAUCCUAUGUUUUCUUUUUCUUGGUUAUAUCUUGGUUUCCUUUCCUGAAUAUGAAAUAUGUGGUUUGUGUACUUCUUAUAAACAGAGAUGUGUUGCUCCUUCUGCAUACUUUUAUUCCUUUAUUUUCAGAAUUUGA